UCUGUGAGGGAUUUACCGUCAGUCACCAAAAAUAUAGCAGCCCCUUGAAAACGAUAAAAAUAAUCUUCUCGAGCAACACUGAUUCACUUGCUACGAACUAGUAACCAAGGAUUCAGAAUAAAUAAACAAAUUAUUUGAAGAAAUUGUAGAACAGUUCGGUGAUUCAAAUUUCGUGCCCUCAGUCCCACUUUUUAAGAGCAGAUAAGGGAAGUGGAACAUUCAAAUCGCCAUCAUCGGUGCUUGCAAUAAUUAAGUUCGCCGUCUUCAUAAAUGCUCCUAGAGUUGGACAUGAACAGUCAACAAGGUCUAUAUACUACUCCCUAGGAAACCAUUUGCCAGAAUUCAUUCCCAGGUAUAAUUUAGUCCAGCACAGAUCUCCUAUCAAUAAAUAAAUGAGUCUCGGUUUGACGAUGGUUCCAUAAAUUCUGUACAUUCUUUCCACCACUGGCGCUGGUUAGACGCAAAUUCCACACCUCUCGGGAGGGGGCCUCAAAAAGGUGGGUACGGUGAGUAGUAUUAUCCAUCCGAAAAUUUCGAAGGAUGGUAAUUACCCACCUGAAAUUUUGAGCGGAAACAAUAGUAAUAUUGGCAAUAUUAUUUAUAAUAACGAUAAUUUUUUUCUA